UUCCGGUUGAUCCUGCCAGAGGUCACUGCUAUCGGUGUCCGAUUAAGCCAUGCGAGUCGAGAGGUGUAAGACCUCGGCAGACUGCUCAGUAACACGUGGAUAACCUGCCCAAGGGUCCGGGAUAACCCCGGGAAACUGGGGAUAAUACCGGAUGGGUCACCAGUGCUGGAAUGCUUGGUGGUCGAAAGGUGACGCCUUUGGAUGGGUCUGCGGCGGAUUAGGUUGACGCCGGUGUAACGUACCGGCGUGCCUGUAAUCCGUACGGGUUGUGGGAGCAAGAGCCCGGAGAUGGAUUCUGAGACACGAAUCCAGGCCCUACGGGGCGCAGCAGGCGCGAAAACUCUACAAUGCAGGCAACUGCGAUAGGGGGACAUCGAGUGGCAUCCACCUUGGGUGUCUGUCCAACCGUCUAAAAAACGGUUGUUAGCAAGGGCCGGGCAAGACCGGUGCCAGCCGCCGCGGUAAUACCGGCGGCUCGAGUGGUGGCCGAUAUUAUUGAGUCUAAAGGGUCCGUAGCCGGCUUUGCAAGUCCCCUGGGAAAUCCGGCGGCUUAACCGUUGGGCUUUCAUGGGAUACUACAUUGCUUGGGACUGGGAGAGGUAGGAGGUACUCGGGGGGUAGGGGUGAAAUCCUGUAAUCCUCCGGGGACCACCGGUGGCGAAGGCGUCCUACCAGAACAGGUCCGACGGUGAGGGACGAAAGCUAGGGGCACGAACCGGAUUAGAUACCCGGGUAGUCCUAGCCGUAAACGAUGCCCGCUAGGUGUCACGACGGUCGUGAAUCGUCGUGGUGCCGUAGGGAAGCCGCGAUGCGGGCCACUUGGGAAGUACGGCCGCAAGGCUGAAACUUAAAGGAAUUGGCGGG
rnacentral:rRNA from 1 species